rnacentral:rRNA from 1 species
GACGAACGCUGGCGGCGUGCUUAACACAUGCAAGUCGAACGGUGAAGCGCCUUCCUUUUUGGUGGGUGUGGAUGAGUGGCGAACGGUUGAGUAACACGUGCGUAACCUUCCCCCUUCUUCUGGAUAACCGCAUGAAAGUGUGGCUAAUACGGGAUAUUCUGGUUCUUUCGCAUGAUUGGUCAGGGUAAGAUAUUGUGUCUGUGGUGGCUGGGCUGGCGGCGUAUCAUCUUGUUGUGGGGGUGAUGGCCUACCAAGGCGGGGAGGUGUAGACGGCCUGGGAGGGUGGACGGCCAUAAGGGGAGUGCGACACGGCCGAGACUGAGAUGGGAGGCAGAAGUGGGGAAUAUGGAACAAUGGGCGAAAGUCUGAUGCAGCGACGCGGCGUGAGCGAUGGAGGCCUGCGGGUUGUGAAGCUCUUUCGGUAGUGAAGCAGGCCUGCCUGGUUUGUGGGUGGGUUGACGGUAGCUGGAUAAGAAGCGCCGGCUAACUACGUG